rnacentral:rRNA from 1 species
UACGUAGGGUGCAAGCGUUGUCCGGAAUUAUUGGGCGUAAAGAGCUCGUAGGCGGUCUGUCGCGUCGGCUGUGAAAACCCGGAGCUCAACUCCGGGCCUGCAGUCGAUACGGGCAAACUGGAGUACUGCAGGGGAGACUGGAAUUCCUGGUGUAGCGGUGAAAUGCGCAGAUAUCGGGAAGAACACCCGUGGCGAAGGCGGCUCUCUGGGACGGUACUGACGCUGAGACGCGAAAGCGUGGGGAGCGAACAGG